UAUUGGACAAUGGGGGCAACCCUGAUCCAGCAAUACCGCGUGUGUGAAGAAGGCCUGAGGGUUGUAAAGCACUUUUAGUGGCCAGGAGGAUUGAUUGGUUAAGAGCUGAUUAAUUGGACGUUACCCACAGAAAAAGCACCGGCUAACUCCGUGCCAGCAGCCGCGGUAAUACGGAGGGUGCAAGCGUUAAUCGGAAUUACUGGGCGUAAAGGGUGCGUAGGUGGUUUGAUAAGUUAGUUGUGAAAUUCCUGGGCUCAACCUGGGCACUGCAACUGAUACUGUUAAACUCGAGUGUGGGAGAGGGUAGUGGAAUUUCCGGUGUAGCGGUGAAAUGCGUAGAGAUCGGAAGGAACACCAGGGCGAAGGCGGCUACCUGCCUAACACGACACUGAGGCACGAAA
rnacentral:rRNA from 1 species